CUGCCCUCAAGCACGGCUUGUGUGUUGGGCCCCCGUCCCGGUUCUUUAAGCCGGGACGGGCCCGAAAGGCAGCGGCGGCACCGUGUCCGGUCCUCGAGUGUAUGGGGCUCUGUCACCCACUCGUGUAGGUCCGGCCGGCGGCCAGCCUCUUCAACCAAACUUUUAACCA
rnacentral:misc_RNA from 1 species